rnacentral:lncRNA from 1 species
CAGGCAGAUUCAGAUAGAUUUGUAGAGCCGUUUUGACACUUUAGAGAAACAUCCGAGCUUUGAUUCUGGUCACAUGUGCAAAGCGAUUGAACACAUUUUAAAUAACGCUGUGUUUUCCCCCUCUUUUUUCCCCCUGAAAUAGAAAGUACAUGCUCAACCCCUUUGGGUGAAAGCACUUAGUACGCAAAAAUACGGCUUUACAUAAUUUUGUGCUCUUGGAAAAACUAAGUGGCAGCAGUUCUUUGCUCUUUUCUCCAUAACUAACAGCACUCUGUUUUAAACUUUCAUGUGCUUCCAGAGCGAGUCCGCAGAAGAGUAAAUGCUGUGGGAGGAGGUCUUGUCAGGCUGCGUUAACCGAGAGCUGCGGUAAGAGAGCAGACAGCAACACGGUUCGUCUGCUGGGCUGAUGAGUUGCAUAUUUUACGCAAUGUUUGGUUAACAUUGCUUGAAGAUGUUUUUAGAGUGUGUUCAAGCCCAACGGGAUUUAUUUAAAUUCCUCACAAAGCCGUAAGAGGAAAAUGAGAAUUUAGAUACAAAAACUACAAUUUUUAAAGUAAGUCGAAACAGCAGCUCGAUGGAGAGAAAAAGCUGCAGAAAGGUUAUUCUCCUUCUGUCUAUUUAUAAAACAGGCUUUGUUGUGUUUUCUUUUUCGUGCUUUAAACCUGCAGUAAGAGGGGAAAAAAACAGUAUGUUCGUGUAUUUUUGCAACUUCUGAGUCAUUCACUUUGCACGACCUGCACGAAGAAGGUUGAAAUAUUGAUGUUCCUCUACAUUUACAGUUUUAUCACACUUUACAGUUUGCAGACACCUUGACAGUAGAGACUUCUUUGACAUAAAAAUUAAGAUUUGAAGGACUUGGAAGUCAAUACUGCAGAAUAAAAUGAAUUAAUGUAAGCCUCAUGUGAUGCAUUCAGCACUAUGUUAUGGUCAGAUUCACUACUUGAAUAUCAGCCUGGCUCAUGAACCGUUCAGUGUGCAAAUGUUUUUUAGUAAAUGUGAUCAAAUGUGAUCACUAACCAUCAUCGUUGGGCUUCAUGACUCCUCUCUGUUGCUUGCUGCCCUGAUUAUCUCUGUCUUAUUCUGUGUUCCAGUUGUACCCGGAAUUUCUGAGUUCCGAGUCAGAAAUUCAUCUGGAACGCCCCCCUGAAGUUGGACGAUCCUCGCCAACCCCGACUUGACAACAACGUCAUAAUCCAAUAUGGCAGUGCAGUUCACCAACAGUAAAGAGUAACAGUGAAAGCUCUCAUAAUGUUUUAUUUAUUAGCACUUCUGUUUUGUUUUAAUGAAAUUAAAUAAGUGUUAUAUGUUGUACUGCCCAACAUCCAACUGUGAACACAGUGCUUUGGUGUUUGUAAAAGUAAAAUACGGUGUUAUGCGUUUUGUAAAACUGGUAUAGCUAACAACAACUAACAACAGCUGAUCAUUGUAAACAGCAGCUAACAACAGCUAACAGUAGGCUUCCAUUUUGGUUUUUCCGACUUGUUAACAGGAACGCCGUAAACUCGGGUGUAACAUCAUUCCCAGCUCCGACUGAAAAGCAGCAUUAGCUCUGGUUGCUAGCAUAACCUGCUUAAUUCCUGGUUCUUGAACUGUAUGUGUGUAUCAUGAAAGAUGUAUCCUAAAAGCAUCAGUAUUAAAGUUGAGAUAAAAAUGA